GGGUGAGAAGCACAGCGGUUGUGCGUUCGGCUGUUAACCGAUUGGUCGCUGGUUCGAAUCCAGCCUUGCCCG
rnacentral:tRNA from 1 species